UGAAAGAUGGAAAUUAAUGUGUUGUUAUUUCUUUAUAUUUUUCUUUCUAUGAAAGAAUAGACAGGAAAAGAAUAGAUUUGUUAAGAAAUAAAUAAACUUGCAAAUAAAUACAAGUGCUUCAGAGCAGAUCACACAAAACUUCCUUUUUCAAAGUACCUCGGUUGCUUUACAUCAGAGUAUUACCAUUUUAUCUAGAACACAAGAGCAUAAUCCCAAUAAAGUUCCCUAAAGUUUAUGUUUCUCUGGUUUGAGUUAUUAAAAGGCAAGUGCAUCCCCCUGUGUGCUUAUUCACAACUCUCCUCCCCCAAAUAAGCACACCACUUCCCCCUGUCCUGAAAGGGGCCUGCAGCAGGCAGCUUGCGCCAGCAAUCCCAGGACAGCUUCCCUCUCUGGGUCACUUGCCAGCAACUACUGCCUCCUUUUCUUCCCUCUCCCUGCCAAAUAGUCUCUUUGAGGCCUCCCAACAGGAACUUGAGUCUGUUAGUGCUACAAACCAUUUCACCAGAAGAGAAAUCUCUGUCCAUUUUCCCCACCUUCCCCUGCCUUUCCCUGUUGAUGUAAUUUAACAAAAUUAGAAAAAAACAUGUACCACACAGAAUCUAAACCUCAGAGUUCUUCUUCCAGAACCAAAUCCACUACUCGUUCUAGUCAUACACAUAUGAAAUGCUGUAUGUGUAAGAUUAUAGAAUGCUGCAUGAUUGUAGCAAAAGAUUAAUUAAAUAUACUAUAUUACAUCCAUGGGAGGUCGGCAAACUGUUUGUAAAAAGCCAGGUGUAAACAUUUUUGGGCCCUGUGGACCAUGCACACUCUCUGCCACUGUAGCCUGAAAACAGCAAAUAUGUUAAAAAAAAAAAAAAAAAAAAAAGGAUGUGGCUAUGUGCCCAUAAAACUUUAUUUUGUACAAACUGAAUUUCAUACAAUUUGCACAUCAAAAAUUUUGUUUUUCUUUUGAUUUUUUUUUUCGAUCACUUCAAAGUGUAAAAAUCACUCUUAGUUCAAGGGAUGCCCCCCAAACAGGUGCACAACUGAUCUGACUCAAGGGCUGUAAUUUGCAGAAGCCUGAUCUAUAGAAUAUUAAACAUGCAAAAUGAGAACAGUAUUAAUUAACUGAUACAGAAUGAUUGCAAAGAUAGACUUGUCAGUGAAAAAAGCGAGAUGCAAGACAAUGUGAAUUUUAUGCUCACCUCUGUUCAUACACACAAACUAUUUGCUAGUAAAUGCCAACAAUGUCUCUAGAAGGACAUGAUUAGAAUUAGGGAGAACUAGGUGACUAAGGCACAGGAGGAGACAGGCUUUUCACUGAUUGCUGUUUUAUAUAUUUUAUAUCAUGAAUCUUUUAAAAAUACAAUUCAUAUAAUUUUAAAGUCCUGCUAUAGAAGACAGGUUUAUAGUUAGAGAAGUCAAAAAGUCAAAUCUCCGUAAAAUGAGGCCAAUGAGUCUAUUUUUUAUUGUGCCAUAUCUCCCAGAUUUUUGAGACAAUGGACUGACUGAACACAGGACAAGCUUUUAUUAUUAAAGCAAAAAUGUAAAAAUUUUCUAAGCUUCGUUCGUUAAUUCAAUAGCUCUAAUAUCCAAUUUGUGUCAAUCAGUUUGCUAAGCAAGAGUCAUAUAGUAGUGGGCCUUUGUCCUCACAAAGAUAGAUUAGCAGAAGGACAGCCAUGAAAUAAGUAAUUACAGUGACUCAGAGUGAAGAAGUAUCUGGUGCUAUAAAAAUGGAGACAGCAUGCCCAGGGAGGGGAAGGUCCAGCCAUAUGUGAGUGUUCCACCUAACGUGUGUAUAAUCAAUCUGCUUCAUUACUGUCAUGUUGUCAAAAUUCUAAAUAUCAAAGACUUGUGUUCUAUGCUGGAAUUUUCACCUUGGUUUGUGAUAUUUCUGAAUAAGGAUCAAUUUAUUUCACAAGUGCUAAAAAUGUGAGCAGGAAGCAAGAAACAUUCAAGGCAAAGGCAGAGCCCAGGACUAGAGUGUCUGCCUGGAUGAAGAUGCUCUAGACAAGCUCUGUAGACUUUGCAGUGCCUUGCUGUCCUACAGUGGCAGCGUGCUCAACACAACAGAGAAACGAGGCAGGAGGAGAAAGAUCCUUCUACCACCAGCUUUCCAAGCAUAUGACAACACAGGCAUAGUACGUCUGCACCUGCGCUGUGGUCUUUGGGUGGCGACAACAGUGACUGGUUUGUACCAGGCAUCAAGGAACCUCAACCACUUGCCUGCACUUGUGGAGUCUACAUGUAGUAGCUUUGGGUCGGGGCUAAUUAUAAUAGUAAUAAUGCUCUGCGUUCUAGUGACCUUCUGAACUCAUGUUUGUUAAAAAGUAGAACACGCAUGAAUGUGACUGACAGGCUGGAGAAGCCCCUGCACUGAGAGCUUAGAUUGUCAGUCACCCAAAGGCACCAUCCCCUCACCUCCACAGAGUAGCAGGACUUCAGCAGAGUAAGAAAGACCAGGGAAGAAGGCUAGGGAGAUUAAGACAAAAUUUAGGCUUUCAUAGAGAAUUACUCUGGACUUGUGGAGUUCAUAUCUGGAACCAUUUUAUAUUGUUGACAUGUUAGCUGAAACAUAUUUGUACUGUCAUGUUGGUUUACUUCAUAAUUUUUUACUUUUGUUACAUAAUAAUAUAAUUAAACAUAACAUGAAAUAGGAAAUAAUAUUAUACAUAUUUACUAAGCACCUAUCAAGCAAUCAAGCAAAAAUGAUCCUCCUACCUCAACCUCCUGAGGAGCUCAAAUUCAGGCAUGCACUAUUGUACCCAACAAAAAAAUUACUGACUACAAAUGCUCAGCUUUGAGUGCACUCUAGCUGGAAACUCAACUUAUUUAUUUGGUGCUAUAUGACGCAUUUCAGAGCCUUCAAUGGGCCAACAGUGAACUGCCAGUCAAUGGUCCCCACUGGAGUCACAAGUGGUAUCAAAGUUCCUGACUGCUCUCUUCUUCCAAAGGAUGAACACCCAUCAGAUGACCCAAUCAGACUGGCAAGCCCAACAGAAGAACCCAAAGCCAGGGAGACUAGGAAGAGUUCUGUUACUCUCCGUACCACUUCCUCCAUUCAUAAAAGAGGAAGUCUCUCUUUUGAGACUUAUUGAGAAGAAACUUUCUGUUUGUCCUGUUUGUGUGUCUCCCCUGAUGCUCCUCACAGAAGUACCCUUUCUCCCUGGUCAAGCUGGGAGUGAUCACUGCAAGUAUGCCACCCAGGGUGUCUCACAAUGCAGCACCAGGAUGGACAGAUGGCAUCUGAAGCUUGACCACCACAAUUCCUACUUCCACCAUGUACAAGCUGCAGAACUUAGGGGGAAUUACUUCCCAAUAUAUACCUUUGUCUCCUCAUCUCUAAAACUCCCUCAGAGUAUAGGGAUUUAAAGAAGUACCUAGUAGAAAGGCAAUGAUCAAGUGUUAGCAACUAUCAUGUUGACUAUUUAGUUUCUCUCCACAGACCUGCCUCAGACCUUCUUUGUAUUUCUGUCUCUUCUGUGCAUGAAGCUUACCCUUAAGAGUCAGGCUGUGCCCACAAGGAGGAUCUGAAAUAGCCCAGCUCUUCGGCCUGGGUCUAGGUAGAUAACGUUACAAUGAGGCAAAAGAAAUAAGAAGCCAAUUUUAGACCUGGAUCUAGGUCAGAUGUUCCUACAUCAUUUUACCAGUAAUACAGUUGACAUUUAAAUCCCUAUUUGACUUCCAUGUGUACUUUUUUAUCAGUCUGAAUUCAAAGUAGAGAAGGUGGGUCUCACUGGCACUUCCAAAGCCUAACAUCAAAAGAUAUAUGAUCUUGUACCUCAAAGAACAAAAAUCACACAAAUCCAGAAAUCAAUGUGCUAAGAACAAUGCUUAGAUGGCAAAAGAAAAAGAGACCCCCCAAAAAAGGAAGCAUUGUGGUUCAUAUGCAAAAGUCUCAAGUGUCUACACAGACACUAACUCUCUUUGGUAAAGAGACAAGCAAAGUCCCAAGACACGGUACACCUAAAACACCAAUAUGUCCUUACACACAUUUACUAAGAGUAAAUGUACAAGUGCACAAUCAGAAUAAAAAUAGUUUUAAAGUUA